GCGCCAUAGGCCUGGUAUAGAUUCUUCCGAUGUGAUGCUGUCUAGUUUUCCACAGAAAAUUAAAAGCGGAGUACCAGAGGAACUUGGGAAACUAUAAAAAAGCAUUUGUAUUCUGGUUACAUAUGUAAAACUUGAGAUUUGCCGUUUACACCAUUUUUGACUUAAACUCAGUGGGUUAUUGAUAUUCACAGUGCUGUGCAGCCAUCAGCGCUGUCCAGUUCCAAAACCUCGUCUUCGCCCCACAGCAGCCCUGUCCCCAUGAAGCAGUCACUGCUCGCUCCCCUGCUGCCAGCUCCAGUCCGAUUUCCCCUGCUGUGGACUUCCUGUUCCGGGUGUUCCACAAAGGUGGGGCCGCGCCGUGUUCGUGUGUGGGGAUCGCUGCUUCCGCCUGUCUGUUUCCCAGGUCAUCCGUGUUGCAGCAGGGAUCUGAGCCUGCUUCCUUCCUGGGGCUGGAUGAUCCAUGUAGUGGAUCCACUCCCAUCGGGGCUUGGGCGGCUUUCCCUUUAUUGGCCGCUGUGAAUCCUGCUGCGGUUGAAUGCCUCCCUCUCUGCACAUCCUGAGAAAGAUGAGUUAAUCCUUUUCGGAGGUGAAUAUUUCAAUGGCCAAAAAACUUUUCUAUGUGACGAGUGCUCCCUCUGCACUAUGAGAAAGGACACCUGGACAGAAGGUGACAUCUCUGGCCCAUGGUGGAGGUGCUGUGCUCACCAGUUGCAACCCCUGUCUGAAGUUUGUAAUGACUGUGACCUCUCAGAAUAUCAUCACCUCCUGGGCUCCAGGUUGGCUGAAGGCCACUCACACUGCUCAGGUCUGAGGAUGAAGGUGACCUCAUCAGUGUCCCCUGACUGUGUUCCCGUCAGCUGCAGAAAUGAGGAGGCAAGUUCAGUAAGAUUUACAAGCUCAUCAUUUCGACGAUCAUGAUGUCCUCCAAUCCCUCUGGUAGUCCUUCCAGUUCUACUAGUUUCUCCCUCAUAAAGGUAAAGGUAAAUUAAAUACUAUGUUCGUAUUGAAAACAUAGGUGUGUGACUAUGUGACCAAAAUCCUAAUUAUCUGAUGCUCAAAUGGUGGAGAAGCAGUAAGUUUCAUUUCACUAAAACGAACACAAACUAAUACCUAUGCUGUGCCUGUCUUGCCGCCCGCUCCAUCCACAUCAGGUAGAAAAGCUCUCCUGGGCUCCAGAGCUUGGGUCUGCAGUAGCUCAGCUCAGGCAGUGCGUUUGUGGCCCUGUGCUUAAAGCGCUGUGCCGGUUACACGGAGGACACAGAGGCGUCCACGGCAGCUCUUACUGAGAGGAACUUUGCGUCACCAAGGGUCACUAAAAACUGUCAUUACCUUAGGUGAUGACAUCCGUCACAGACACUGCUGAGCCUACCCUGGAGAAGGAAGAGGACAGUGACGGGGCACAGCCCUGGGCUCUCUGUCUCCUGAAGAUUUAGGAUGAAAGGACCCUGGGGAAUCUCUCCACAGUGUCUCACAGGGGAGGGCUCACACACACUUGGCACGGGUCGCAUCUGUGGUUUCCUUUCACUGGCGAUGUUUACAUAAUAACUGAAACAGGAGAAGCCACGCAGACAUGGGACACAGAGCCUGAGCACUGUGAGGUUGGGUACUGAAUCUCCUGCAAUGUCAAUAUCUUGAUCAGGAAGGGAAGUAGGCAGAAUUCAGUGCAGGACAGGGGUCAUGGUCCUGUAGUAUUCAAGGUUUUUAAACUUUUAAUCAGGUUGACCCUUGCAGAAAGCUCCUGUGGUGCUAGAAUAAAAUUGUUCAAUGGCCCCUGUGUAUUGUACUGUUUAGUGAGGCUAAAACUACAGCAACAAAAAGCCACCCAUCAGAGAGAAGGAGCUUGAGUUAGCUCCUUAUAUGAAAUUUAAUGUAGGUGUUAUGAAAAGCCAACAGUUAUGUCAGGGAGAGAAAGGAAGCCAACAUAAAAAUGGAAUGCAGCAAGGAUGAUAUUGACAAAGGACAUAAACAGUUUUCAGCUUUUGUAAUCGAUCCACUUGGUGUUACAUACUGGUCUGUGUUCUGUACAUUUCAGUGAUUUAGAAAUAAUGGGUGAACAGAAGAACAUCAUGAUAGGGUUAUAUUCUUACAUUUCCAUGGGUUUGCAGUUUUCACUUCAGUAAGAAACAUAAUGAUAAAGAAAUGGUGAGAUGACUCCAGCCCUGUGGAAGAUAUAAUCUGCGGGAAAACAAUUUGUGUUUUGAUGAUGUUGUCUGUACAGAAGAAUGAACGCUGGGAAAUAUGCUCAGGGUUUUUGGGAAAGGGUGCACAUCAGGGUGCCUUUGCAAAGAGACCAGGGGCCUUGUUUAUCAGCACAGCCCGGGCAGCUGGAAGGCAGGGGCUCCUUGGCGCUCCGUGACAUCUCCACCUUCCAAUUCUAUGCUGCAACUGUCGGCCACUGCCAGGCACACUGGGCCAUGACUGCCUUACGCGUGUCUGAGUCUGAGCCGCAGGCAGUACCUUCUGCUCUGAACUCGGAUUCUGCACACCUGUUUUCACUGUGAAAUUCUCAAGUGUGUUGGGUGUCGGUCACCUUGUUCUCAGCCGUGAGUUCAUCCGUGUACUCACUGUCCUCCCUCAGUCCUGAUCCAACUUGUUUGAUUUCCUUUGAUUUGAAGCCACCUUGUGUUUGGGUUUCUUCUCCACGAGGCUCAGUUCUGCCCCCUCUGCCGCAGAGGCCGUAAGCAUGACAGUAACUCCCAGCCCCUCCUGUCAUCGAGGGGCUAAAAUGACCUACUUUGACAUCAACCCGGAGUUGAACUUCCAGCUGGAAGAGAGCCAACAGCAACUGCGAGACAAGCGAACCAAACUUCCGUAUAACUGAAGCUACUCUCUGUGUCCUGGCCACCGAGCUGCGGAAACACAGAUGAGCACAGGAGGAGUGGAGAAGCGGAAGAACAAGUGCCUCAGAGCUCGCAAGAUGAGGACCAUGAGACACCGUCCAGUCCCGGUGAGCCGAGUGACCUCCAGCAGCCUCCCUGCAGGCCGGCUUUCCUGUGGAUGAGGUCUCCCCUUCUCCAGAUACAGCUUGUACCUGGAGGACGGAGACGAUGUCAGCGAUUCACUGGUGUACACUUUAGAUGAAAGGUAUUUGGCAUUUUCCACCUGCCAGGACUUAUCAGCGUCCACCAAGCCUGCCAAGAGUCCAGGCUUCCCAGCACAUCAGAAUCCGUGUGAGGAUGAGGAUCCACGGGAGCAAGAGGCCCCCAGGACAUGGUGUGUCAUAAUCCACAACAAUGCCCAGAAGCUGAUCCGACUCUGUGACCCGCUACAGAAAGGGAAGGAUGCUGC